AUCACCAUGCUUCCUGUACGUAUCCUGUUCCUGUACUCCCAGACCAGCGUGCUUGAUUCUACUCCCAGCUCUGGAAGGGAGAGCAAAGCCCAGAGAUCCACUCCUCCUGUCGUAGGCAAACCAUCAUAAACAGCAACUGAAAAUGGAAUUGAUGAGCUGGGAGGAAACAGUUGCUUUGGAGAAAUG